CUUUAAAGAACUCAGACUAAAAGCGCCACGUCCUGGCAGCGUCUGAGUGACUCACAUCCUGCAAG
rnacentral:sRNA from 1 species